ensembl:lncRNA
GCUUUACAGUGUUCCCAUUGAUCGGCAAAAAACAAAAAAUGGUUAAUCAGUAGUAACAAUACAGCAGUCAAAAGAAAGGAACGUCAGAAGGAGGAACAUAAAGAAUAGUCCGUAUUCAUAAAGCGUCUCAAAGUAGGAGUGCUGAUCUAGGAUCAGGUUUCCCCAGUCCAUAAAAUCGUAUUGAUUGUGAUCUAAAAGGUCCAACUGAUCCUAGAUCAGCAUUCCUACUCUGGGAUGCUUUGUAAAUACGAGCCCAGAAAGGUACACCAGGUCAUCACUGCAUCUACACUCUAUUCAGGUAAGGUCAGGCGCGGUCUGGUCGAGCCGGCCGUACCUUAACCGCGUUUUAACCACGGUCAAAUCCCUCUGCCUUAUGACCACCUUUCACCUCUUUUCUGCUUGGCUGACCUCUUGCUAAGGCCUUGAGCCAAUUGAACCCGUCUCCCUUGGGUUCCCCUAGCCCUCUUCUCAUUUGCUCUUCAGUCUCAGACCCUCAACUGUCUGCGAUCGCACCCUGAUCCAUCUUCUCUGUAAUAACCCUCUCUUUUCCCUGUCACUGUUUACCUCAUUUUUCUUCCCCAGUGGCCUACUUUAAGCACCCAAGGCAUCCUCAUACAAGGUUCCCUCGCCCCUCUUAAUCAUAGCCUUAGCCUUGCCACACACUCACUCCCACACUCCUCCCCCUCUCCCUCAGGGGCGGCCCGGCUGGUUGACCUGCCUGCCUCCUCACUCCCUCAGUGUGGCUGCAUAUCAUUUCCCUGCUGCGCUUUGUGUGGGUUGGUUUCCUAGCAACAGACAGCCAUCACAGCUCAGGAUCUGAAAGUGGAGAGAAUAUGUUGCUGCUGCACACUUCUAGGGCUAGCUAAUACACUGGCUGAGUCUGAAAUGACACCCUAUUCAGUGCAGUACUUUUGACCGUACCCCUAUGAGCCAUGGUCAAAAGUAGUGCCAGGGAAUAAAGUUCCAUUUUGGACACAUCCACUAAGUGCUGUGCUACAGUGUUGGGUGCUCUCCAGCCAUUGACAGGCCACUCCCUCUCCAUCAGAACAGGACAACAGUAGGCUUUUCUCUCUGACUACUGAGGUUAAACCACACAGCACCUUGAUCCUGGGAAAGAUGGCAGUGGUCUCUGAAAGAAGUUGAAAAUGAACCAACGGUCUCUGGCUUGGCCUCAACAUAUCGUCAGUGGUGAUGUGUUGCCAUGCCAACGGUGAUAACGUCACAGCGCCCGAACCUCCGUCACCAGCAUAUGAGAUAACAACAAUGCAGCAUUUCGUACUAAUAAAAUAAUUUAUACGAUUGUA